rnacentral:lncRNA from 1 species
GGAUUGCAUAGUGACUGCAUAAGGAUUGUAUAGUGACUGCAUAAGGAUUGCAUAGUGACUGCAUAAGGAUUGCAUAAGGAUUGUAUAGUGAUUGCAUAAGGAUUGCAUAGUGACUGCAUAAGGAUUGCGUAGUGACUGCGUAAGGAUUGCAUAAGGAUUGUAUAGUGACUACAUAAGGAUUGCAUAAGGAUUGUAUAGUGGCUGCGUAAGGAUUGCAUAAGGAUUGCAUAGUGACUGCGUAAGGAUUGCAUAGUGACUGCAUAAGGAUUGCAUAGUGACUGCAUAAGGAUUGCAUAGUGACUGCAUAAGGAUUGCAUAGUGACUGCAUAAGGAUUGCAUAGUGACUGCAUAAGGAUUGCAUAGUGACUGCAUAGUGACUGCAUAAGGAUUGCAUAGUGACUGCAUAAGGAUUGCAUAAGGAUUGCAUAGUGACUGCAUAAGGAUUGCAUAAGGAUUGUAUAGUGAUUGCAUUUGGUCUAAUUUGUCAUUUAACUGAAACAGCUCUCCAACUACUAGGCUUCUUUACUCUACGUUUUGGCUUUUCAGUCAUUUUUGAUUUGUUUGUGUGUGUGUGUGCGUGCGUGCGUGCGUGUGUGCGUAUGUGUGUGUUCAUUAACCCCCAAGUGUGCAGAGGUCAGCUGCUUUGACGAUGUUGCACUACUGUUCCAUCGGCUGAAGCAGUGCAACAGUAUUGUCAUGGCAUCUGGCCUCCGCCACGGCUUCCCAUGCAAUCAGAUGCUAAGGACUGAGGGGCAUAUAUGAGGGGUAUAUAUGAGAGGUAUAUAUGAGGGGUAUAUAUGAGGGGUAUAUAUGAGGGGUAUAUAUGAGGGGUAUAUAUGAGGGGUAUAUAUGAGGGGUAUAUAUGAGGGGUAUAUAUGAGAGGUAUAUAUGAGGGGUAUAUAUGAGGGGUAUAUAUGAGAGGUAUAUAUGAGAGGUAUAUAUGAGGGGUAUAUAUGAGGGCUAUAUAUGAGGGGCAUAUAUGAGGUGCAUAUAAUAAGCACAAGAGUGAGUCCUCCCUCACUGGGCCUAUAGGAUAAUUCUGCAGGCCUUCCCUCUCACUGGGCCUAUAUGCUAAUACUGCAGGCCUUCCUUCUCCCUGGGCCUAUAGGAUAAUACUGCAGGCCUUCCUUCUCACUGGGCCUAUAGGAUAAUACUGCAGGCCUUCCUUCUCCCUGGGCCUAUAGGAUAAUACUGCAGGCCUUCCUUCUCCCUGGGCCUAUAGGAUAAUACUGCAGGCCUUCCUUCUCACUGGGCCUAUAGGAUAAUACUGCAGGCCUUCCUUCUCACUGGGCCUAUAGGAUAAUACUGCAGGCCUUCCUUCUCCCUGGGCCUAUAGGAUAAUACUGCAGGCCUUCCUUCUCCCUGGGCCUAUAGGAUAAUACUGCAGGCCUUCCUUCUCACUGGGCCUAUAGGAUAAUACUGCAGGCCUUCCUUCUCCCUGGGCCUAUAGGAUAAUACUGCAGGCCUUCCUUCUCCCUGGGCCUAUAGGAUAAUACUGCAGGCCUUCCCUCUCACUGGG